GACAAUUUCUUUGAUCUAAGCUCCACUCAUGCGCAUUGUUGGGCAUGCAACCAAAGCAGUUGCAACCUUCUGGCGGACCAGACUCGUUAAUGUAUUCCUAGCUAGGAAAUGAAUCAGGACGACGACGAUAUCAGAGUCACUGUUAUCGAUCGCUUUAGGCUUAGAAGGCCUAAAUAACCUUUGCAAAACCGAGUUUAUAAGUGAGAUACUGUAUAUAGCCAUCACCAUACGCUUGAGACAGGCACGGCGAAGCAGUUGCGGGUAAUAACUGCCAUUUCGUUGCGGAAUGGGGAUUGUAACAACAAGUUUGACUACUGCUUGCAAACUUCCUGGGCUGCCGUGCCCUAACUCGAUAAAAAAAAAAAGAGAAAAGGACGAACCAGUAGUAAAGGACGACUCAACGGGUGUAUUUCAGUGUCUGAAAAAGGCAACAACAUGGUGCAGUGAUAGUACCAUGCCUCAUUCAGCCUAACGAUGACGAUCCCUUUCCUGCCUCUGCAAAUGAACAUGAUGCAAUCUCCCGAUUCUCGAGUAUAGAAUUAUCAGUUAACCUAUUGAUAAAUUCUCCAACGUGGGAUGGUUACGAAAAUCGGCUAGAUUACCUUGUUGACAAGUGAGCUUGCUUCGGACCGUUGCCGAUACGACGGCUCGUUGUUAACCACGCUAUAUAUUUUAUAAGCGAAUAAAUAUUAAUACGUAUUUUACGUGCCUUUAGCUAAAAUCGUGCGAUGGAUUUGUUAGCAGAAAUUAACUAAGUAGUUAAGGCAUGCUUACACAAGGAGACUUAAUUAUUUUUUGACCAAACGAUCGUCUGUCCUUUUUUAUGUUGUGUUGCAUCAUUUACUAGCAUAUAUAUACUUAUG